rnacentral:rRNA from 1 species
GAGUGGCGGACGGGUGAGUAACACGUAGGUAACCUGCCCCGGAGCGGGGGAUAACAUUUGGAAACAGAUGCUAAUACCGCAUAACAACAAAAGCCACAUGGCUUUUGUUUGAAAGAUGGCUUUGGCUAUCACUCUGGGAUGGACCUGCGGUGCAUUAGCUAGUUGGUAAGGUAACGGCUUACCAAGGCGGUGAUGCAUAGCCGAGUUGAGAGACUGAUCGGCCACAAUGGAACUGAGACACGGUCCAUACUCCUACGGGAGGCAGCAGUAGGGAAUCUUCCACAAUGGGCGCAAGCCUGAUGGAGCAACACCGCGUGAGUGAAGAAGGGUUUCGGCUCGUAAAGCUCUGUUGUUGGAGAAGAACGUGCGUGAGAGUAACUGUUCACGCAGUGAUGGUAUCCAACCAGAAAGUCACGGCUAACUACGUGCCAGCAGCCGCGGUAAUACGUAGGUGGCAAGCGUUAUCCGGAUUUAUUGGGCGUAAAGCGAGCGCAGGCGGUUGCUUAGGUCUGAUGUGAAAGCCUUCGGCUUAACCGAAGAAGUGCAUCGGAAACCGGGCGACUUGAGUGCAGAAGAGGACAGUGGAACUCCAUGUGUAGCGGUGGAAUGCGUAGAUAUAUGGAAGAACACCAGUGGCGAAGGCGGCUGUCUGGUCUGCAACUGACGCUGAGGCUCGAAAGCAUGGGUAGCGCAACAGAAGUAGAUACCCUGGUAGUCCAUGCCGUAAACGAUGAGUGCUAGGUGUUGGAGGGUUUCCGCCCUUCAGUGCCGGAGCUAACGCAUUAAGCACUCCGCCUGGGGAGUACGACCGCAAGGUUGAAACCCAAAGGAAUUGACGGGGGCCCGCACAAGCGGUGGAGCAUGUGGUUUAAUUCGAAGCUACGCGAAGAACCUUACCAGGUCUUGACAUCUUGCGCUAACCUUAGAGAUAAGGCGUUCCCUUCGGGGACGCAAUGACAGGUGGUGCAUGGUCGUCGUCAGCUCGUGUCGUGAGAUGUUGGGUUAAGUCCCGCAACGAGCGCAACCCUUGUUACUAGUUGCCAGCAUUAAGUUGGGCACUCUAGUGAGACUGCCGGUGACAAACCGGAGGAAGGUGGGGACGACGUCAGAUCAUCAUGCCCCUUAUGACCUGGGCUACACACGUGCUACAAUGGACGGUACAACGAGUCGCAAGCUCGCGAGAGUAAGCUAAUCUCUUAAAGCCGUUCUCAGUUCGGACUGUAGGCUGCAACUCGCCUACACGAAGUCGGAAUCGCUAGUAAUCGCGGAUCAGCAUGCCGCGGUGAAUACGUUCCCGGGCCUUGUACACACCGCCCGUCACACCAUGGGAGUUUGUAACGCCCAAAGUCGGUGGCCUAACCUUUAUGGAGGAAGCCGCCUAAGGCGGGACAGAUGACUGGGGU